CCUACGGGGGGCUGCAGUGAGGAAUUUUCUGCAAUGGGCGAAAGCCUGACAGAGCAAUACCGCGUGAGGGAUGAAGGCCUACGGGUUGUAAACCUCUUUUUUCAAGGAGGAAGAUCUGACGUUACUUGAAGAAUAAGCAUCGGCUAACCCUGUGCCAGCAGCCGCGGUAAUACAGGGGAUGCAAGUGUUAUCCGGAAUCAUUGGGCGUAAAGCGUCUGCAGGUUGAUCUCUAAGUCUUUUGUUAAAUCUUUGGGCUCAACCCGAAAUCUGCAAAGGAAACUAUAGAUCUUGAGUAUAGUAGAGGGAAAGGGAAUUUUCAGUGGAGCGGUGAAAUGCGUAGAUAUUGGAAAGAACACCGACAGCGAAGGCACUUUCCUGGGCUAUUACUGACACUCAGAGACGAAAGCUAGGGGAGCAAACAGGAUUAGAUACCCUAGUAGUC
rnacentral:rRNA from 1 species